AGAUACCCUGGUAGUCCACGCCGUAAACGAUGUCGACUUGGAGGUUGUGCCCUUGAGGCGUGGCUUCCGGAGCUAACGCGUUAAGUCGACCGCCUGGGGAGUACGGCCGCAAGGUUAAAACUCAAAUGAAUUGACGGGGGCCCGCACAAGCGGUGGAGCAUGUGGUUUAAUUCGAUGCAACGCGAAGAACCUUACCUGGUCUUGACAUCCACGGAAGUUUUCAGAGAUGAGAAUGUGCCUUCGGGAACCGUGAGACAGGUGCUGCAUGGCUGUCGUCAGCUCGUGUUGUGAAAUGUUGGGUUAAGUCCCGCAACGAGCGCAACCCUUAUCCUUUGUUGCCAGCGGUCCGGCCGGGAACUCAAAGGAGACUGCCAGUGAUAAACUGGAGGAAGGUGGGGAUGACGUCAA
rnacentral:rRNA from 1 species